GAUGAACGCUGACAGAAUGCUUAACACAUCAGCAAUUGACUGGUGCCGGACGGGUGAGUAAGGCGUAAAGAACUUGCCCCACAGCUAGGGACAACAUUUAGAAAUGAAUGCUAAGACCCGAUACAGUGUGAGAGCUUUGCGUCCCAUUAUCUAGUUGGAGAGGUAACAGCUCACCAAGGCGAUGAUGGGUAGCCGUGCUGAGAGGGUGAACGGCCACAAGGGGACUGGGGCACGGUCCUUACUGAGACUGGAGGCAGCAGUGGGGAACAGUGGACGAUGGACCGAAGUCUGAUGCAGCAAUUCUGUGUGCACGGUGAUGUUUUCGGGAUGUAGAGUGCGUUCAGUUGAGAAGCGUUACCCACAGAAGAAGUGACGGCUAAAUACGUGCCAGCAGCCGCGGUAAUUC
rnacentral:rRNA from 1 species